UGUUGGAAGUGAAGAGAUUGAGGUGGAAUUUUCGCGGGAACCAAACGAUCUUUUUGGAUGGGUCGGUGGUGGAUAUGAUGUGGGAUGUUUAUGACUGGCUUUUCAAGGCGGAAUCUACGGCGGCGACGGCGGCCGCGGCGGCGUUCAUGUUCCGGACGAGGAGUGGAUUGGACAGCCGGCUAUGGCUGGAGGAGAAAACGAAGCACCAAAGGGAUGGAUUCUCUCUAUUGAUUCGAGCUUUUACUUGAAACGAGAAGGAUUCUUUAGGAACCUUUUUUUCUCCACUCAAGAGGGAAAUGUGUAAUGUGCUUUUCUUUAUACAUGAGAUGCUGAUUUCAUGUAGGGUAAAGUUUGGAGAUUCCUAAUGAAAAUUGUAAAUAUUAAGGGAGAUAGUAUGCUUUUUUUUUCCUUGUUCGACCGCUGUACGAGUUGAGAUUCAAAUYUUCUACUUUUUUUAUUGAAAAAAUAUAUCUUUACGAAUUCAAAAA